UACGUAGGCAGCAAGCGUUGUUCGGAAUUACUGGGCGUAAAGGGCUCGUAGGUGGCCAACUAAGUCAGACGUGAAAUCCCUCGGCUUAACCGGGGAACUGCGUCUGAUACUGGAUGGCUUGAGUUCGGGAGAGGGAUGCGGAAUUCCAGGUGUAGCGGUGAAAUGCGUAGAUAUCUGGAGGAACACCGGUGGCGAAGGCGGCAUCCUGGACCGACACUGACGCUGAGGAGCGAAAGCCAGGGGAGCAAACGGG
rnacentral:rRNA from 1 species